AUUGAACGCUGGCGGCAGGCCUAACACAUGCAAGUCGAACGGUAACAGGAAGCAGCUUGCUGCUUUGCUGACGAGUGGCGGACGGGUGAGUAAUGUCUGGGAAACUGCCCGAUGGAGGGGGAUAACUACUGGAAACGGUAGCUAAUACCGCAUAACGUCGCAAGACCAAAGAGGGGGACCUUAGGGCCUCUUGCCAUCGGAUGUGCCCAGAUGGGAUUAGCUAGUAGGUGGGGUAACGGCUCACCUAGGCGACGAUCCCUAGCUGGUCUGAGAGGAUGACCAGCCACACUGGAACUGCGACACGGUCCAGACUCCUACGGGAGGCAGCAGUGGGGAAUAUUGCACAAUGGGCGCAAGCCUGAUGCAGCCAUGCCGCGUGUAUGAAGAAGGCCUUCGGGUUGUAAAGUACUUUCAGCGGGGAGGAAGGGAGUAAAGUUAAUACCUUUGCUCAUUGACGUUACCCGCAGAAGAAGCACCGGCUAACUCCGUG
rnacentral:rRNA from 1 species